GCACUCGUAGCUCAGAGGAUAGAGCAACCGCCUCCUAAGCGGUAGGUCGCGCGUUCGACUCGCGCCGGGUGCGCCA
rnacentral:tRNA from 1 species